rnacentral:tRNA from 1 species
GGCGUGGUACUUUAAUAAAAAAGGUUAGGUUUGCGACUUAAAAUUGGAUUUGACUAUCCCGACGCUU